AACGAACGCUGGCGGCAUGCCUAACACAUGCAAGUCGAACGAGACCUUCGGGUCUAGUGGCGCACGGGUGCGUAACGCGUGGGAAUCUGCCCUUGGGUUCGGAAUAACAGUUAGAAAUGACUGCUAAUACCGGAUGAUGUCUUCGGACCAAAGAUUUAUCGCCCAAGGAUGAGCCCGCGUAGGAUUAGCUAGUUGGUGGGGUAAUGGCCCACCAAGGCGACGAUCCUUAGCUGGUCUGAGAGGAUGAUCAGCCACACUGGGACUGAGACACGGCCCAGACUCCUACGGGAGGCAGCAGUGGGGAAUAUUGGACAAUGGGCGAAAGCCUGAUCCAGCAAUGCCGCGUGAGUGAUGAAGGCC
rnacentral:rRNA from 1 species